GACGAACGCUGGCGGCGUGCUUAACACAUGCAAGUCGAACGGAAAGGCCCUGCUUUUGUGGGGUGCUCGAGUGGCGAACGGGUGAGUAACACGUGAGUAACCUGCCCUUGACUUUGGGAUAACUUCAGGAAACUGGGGCUAAUACCGGAUAGGAGCUCCUGCUGCAUGGUGGGGGUUGGAAAGUUUCGGCGGUUGGGGAUGGACUCGCGGCUUAUCAGCUUGUUGGUGGGGUAGUGGCUUACCAAGGCUUUGACGGGUAGCCGGCCUGAGAGGGUGACCGGCCACAAUGGGACUGAGAUACGGCCCAGACUCCUACGGGAGGCAGAGGUGGGGAAUAUUGCACAAUGGGCGGGAGCCUGAUGCAGCAACGCCGCGUGCGGGAUGACGGCCUUCGGGUUGUAAAGCGCAGUCGCCUGUGACGAAGCGUGAGUGACGGUAAUGGGUAAAGAAGCACCGGCUAACUACGUG
rnacentral:rRNA from 1 species